AUUGAACGCUGGCGGCAUGCCUUACACAUGCAAGUCGAACGGUAACAGGUCUUCGGAUGCUGACGAGUGGCGAACGGGUGAGUAAUGCAUCGGAACGUGCCCAGUAGUGGGGGAUAGCCCGGCGAAAGCCGGAUUAAUACCGCAUACGACCUGAGGGUGAAAGGGGGGGAUCGCAAGACCUCUCGCUAUUGGAGCGGCCGAUGUCAGAUGAGCUAGUUGGUGGGGUAAAGGCCUACCAAGGCAACGAUCUGUAGUUGGUCUGAGAGGACGACCAGCCACACUGGGACUGAGACACGGCCCAGACUCCUACGGGGGGCAGCAGUGGGGAAUUUUGGACAAUGGGCGCAAGCCUGACCCAGCAAUGCCGCGUGCAGGAAGAAGGCCUUCGGGUUGCAAACUGCUUUUGUCAGGGAAGAAAUCUUCAGGGUUAAUACCUCGGGAGGAUGACGGUACCUGAAGAAUAAGCACCGGCUAACUACGUGCCAGCAGCCGCAGUAAAAC
rnacentral:rRNA from 1 species